rnacentral:lncRNA from 1 species
GGACGUAGAAUGGGUACAACUUGGACUUUCUCUUACAUAGCGCCAGGGACGUAGAAUGGGUACAACCUGGACUUCCAUACCAUAUCAUGCCGUAACAUCAUCAUACCAUAUGAGGACUAAAGGAUCAUCCAAUAACCAAUCCACAUCAACAUCAUAAAUGCAAUGCAACAUAUUCGUGAUUUCUAAUGCAAACAACCUAAUUCAUCACAUGGCAUUCAUGAUGCAUGAACAUGCUCAACUGUAUAAUUCAUUUGCUUUAACACAUAAAAGUUUAUUCUACUCACCUCUGGCCGAAGCUCUACUGACUCAGAAGCAGCUGAACUCACUGCUGGGGUCCUCGGUUCCUCGAGUCCGAACCUACACAGGUGGACUCAAAUGAGGGACCAAACAACUAGAACAUAACUCUAAAAACAUCCCCCAAAAAC